rnacentral:rRNA from 1 species
UACGUGAGGGUGCAAGCGUUGUCCGGAAUUAUUGGGCGUAAAGAGCUCGUAGGUGGCUUGUCACGUCUGCUGUGAAAACUCGGGGCUCAACCCCGAGCCUGCAGUGGAUACGGGCUAGCUAGAGUGCGGUAGGGGAGACUGGAAUUCCUGGUGUAGCGGUGAAAUGCGCAGAUAUCAGGAGGAACACCGGUGGCGAAGGCGGGUCUCUGGACCGAUACUGACACUGAGGAGCGAAAGCGUGGGGAGCGAACAGG